AUUGAACGCUGGCGGCAUGCUUUACACAUGCAAGUCGAACGGUAACAGGCCGCAAGGUGCUGACGAGUGGCGAACGGGUGAGUAAUGCAUCGGAACGUGCCCAGUCGUGGGGGAUAACGCAGCGAAAGCUGCGCUAAUACCGCAUACGAACUAUGGAUGAAAGCGGGGGACCGAAAGGCCUCGCGCGAUUGGAGCGGCCGAUGUCAGAUUAGGUAGUUGGUGGGGUAAAGGCCCACCAAGCCAACGAUCUGUAGCUGGUCUGAGAGGACGACCAGCCACACUGGGACUGAGACACGGCCCAGACUCCUACGGGAGGCAGCAGUGGGGAAUUUUGGACAAUGGGCGCAAGCCUGAUCCAGCAAUGCCGCGUGCAGGAAGAAGGCCUUCGGGUUGUAAACUGCUUUUGUACGGAACGAAAAGACUCUUUCUAAUAAAGAGGGUCCAUGACGGUACCGUAAGAAUAAGCACCGGCUAACUACGUGCCAGCCGCCGCGGUAAUAC
rnacentral:rRNA from 1 species